GGAAGUAAAAGUCGUAACAAGGUCUCCGUUGGUGAACCAGCGGAGGGAUCAUUACCGAGUUUACAACUCCCAAACCCAAUGUGAACGUUACCAAACUGUUGCCUCGGCGGGAUCUCUGCCCCGGGUGCGUCGCAGCCCCGGACCAAGGCGCCCGCCGGAGGACCAACCAAAACUCUUUUUGUAUACCCCCUCGCGGGUUUUUUAUAAUCUGAGCCUUCUCGGCGCCUCUCGUAGGCGUUUCGAAAAUGAAUCAAAACUUUCAACAACGGAUCUCUUGGUUCUGGCAUCGAUGAAGAACGCAGCGAAAUGCGAUAAGUAAUGUGAAUUGCAGAAUUCAGUGAAUCAUCGAAUCUUUGAACGCACAUUGCGCCCGCCAGUAUUCUGGCGGGCAUGCCUGUCCGAGCGUCAUUUCAACCCUCGAACCCCUCCGGGGGGUCGGCGUUGGGGAUCGGCCCUGCCUUUGGCGGUGGCCGUCUCCGAAAUACAGUGGCGGUCUCGCCGCAGCCUCUCCUGCGCAGUAGUUUGCACACUCGCAUCGGGAGCGCGGCGCGUCCACAGCCGUUAAACACCCAACUUCUGAAAUGUUGACCUCGGAUCAGGUAGGAAUACCCGCUGAACUUAAGCAUAUCAAUAAGCGGAGGA
rnacentral:rRNA from 2 species